rnacentral:pre_miRNA from 1 species
AAAAUACUCCCUCUGUCCGGAAAUACUUGUCGAAGAAAUGCAUAAAAAUGAAUGUAUCUAGAACUAAAAUACAUCUAGAUACAUCCAUUUCUCCGAUGAGUAUUUCCGGACGGAGGGAGUAGUAU